ACCUCUCCUUCUGUUUUCUCCCUCUCCUUCUGAUACUCACAGACGAGACUCAGAUCUCUAAGAAUUAGUGUGUGUUAAAGGGAAAAAAUCACUCUCUCUCAGAUUUUUUUUUCCCAUUAUUCUCCCUUAAUCCAAGAUCAAGAAGAGGGGAUCCCACAAUCCCGCCUCAUCAGAUAUGUGAGAGAAUACCAAUGAAGACUUCUUGGAGGUGUCGUUGAUAUCCAACAAGUUUUUUUUAAUAAUUAGGUUGAAAUCGAUUGAGAUCAAUUUUGGCCAAAAACGGAGGAAUACAGUGGCUGCAAUUCGAGGAAAAAAAAAAAGAAAAUUGCAAAACGGCGGCUGCAAAACGGAAGGGCUGAUGUUAGCUGAUGUCAGCGUGACGUUAGCCCCGAUGGUUCCCGCGCGGACUAGUUCAAGAGAAGAUUGGUUCGUCUAGUUCGAUUUCUGACGUCAGCUUCACGUUUAGGCUAAUGUUAGCAUGACAUCAGAAGGUGCGGGUCAUCUGGCCGGUUUGGCUCACGGGCGUGGUUCGACCUGACUCGUUCGGUCGACUCGGUCUGGACGCAAUUUAGUGAUUUAUCAGUCGGUUCUUUGACUUUUGAACCUGGUUUGACCGGUUUGCGGAUAAUUCAGCGAUUUUCUGGUCCAGUUCAAGCGGUUUUGGCCUGGUUCAGUGUUUUUUCAGCCCGGUUCAAGCGGUUUUCACCCAUUUUAAGUUUUUUUUUUUGCAUGGUUCGAGCUCUUCUUGUCCGGUUCGGGUGCUGUUGAAAACGACAUAGGAUAAAAUUAGUAAAAUUAAUGUAAUUUUUUGCUUUAAUUUUA